rnacentral:rRNA from 1 species
GACGAACGCUGGCGGCGUGCUUAACACAUGCAAGUCGAACGAGAGGACAAGAGAAGCUUGCUUCUUUUGGAAUCGAGUGGCAAACGGGUGAGUAACACGUAAACAACCUGCCUUCAGGAUGGGGACAACAGACGGAAACGACUGCUAAUACCGAAUACGCUUGGGAGACCGCAUGAUCUUCCAAGGAAAGGGUGGCCUCUACUUGUAAGCUAUCGCCUGAAGAGGGGUUUGCGUCUGAUUAGGCAGUUGGUGAGGUAACGGCCCACCAAACCUACGAUCAGUAGCCGGUCUGAGAGGAUGAACGGCCACACUGGAACUGAGACACGGUCCAGACUCCUACGGGAGGCAGCAGUGGGGAAUCUUCCGCAAUGGGCGAAAGCCUGACGGAGCAACGCCGCGUGAGUGAUGACGGCCUC